rnacentral:sRNA from 1 species
UUAACGCCCACAGCCGCCAGCGUCCAC